AGCGAACGUUGGCGGCGCGCUUAACACAUGCAAGUCGAGCGAGAACGGGUCCUUCGGGGCCUCAGUAAAGCGGCGCACGGGUGAGUAUCACGUGGGUAAUCAACCCUUCGGCGGGGGACAACCUCGGGAAACCGGGGCUAAUACCGCAUACGUCCUUUUCUCCCUCGGGAGGAUUGGGGAAAGAGGGCCUCUCCUUGGAAGCUCUCACCGGAGGACGAGCCCGCGGCCCAUCAUGCUUGUAGGUGGGGUAAUGGCCUACCUAGGCAACGACGGGUAGCUGGUCUGAGAGGAUGAUCAGCCACACUGGAACUGAGACACGGUCCAGACUCCUACGGGAGGCAGCAGUGGGGAAUAUUGCGCAAUAGGGGAAACCCUGACGCAGCGACGCCGCGUGGGUGAUGAAGGCCUUCGGGUCGUAAAGCCCUGUGGGAGAGGGACGAAACACCGGCGAAUCAAUACCUCGUCGGCCUGACGGUACCUUUCCAGAAAGCACCGGCUAACUCCGUG
rnacentral:rRNA from 1 species